rnacentral:rRNA from 1 species
UACGGAGGGUGCAAGCGUUAUCCGGAUUCACUGGGUUUAAAGGGUGCGUAGGUGGGCAAGUAAGUCAGUGGUGAAAUCUCCGGGCUUAACCCGGAAACUGCCAUUGAUACUAUUUGUCUUGAAUACUGUGGAGGUCAGCGGAAUAUGUCAUGUAGCGGUGAAAUGCUUAGAUAUGACAUAGAACACCAAUUGCGAAGGCAGCUGGCUACACAAGUAUUGACACUGAGGCACGAAAGCGUGGGGAUCAAACAGG